rnacentral:misc_RNA from 1 species
ACUUAUAAACUGAUUUACAUUUCAAGACAUAAUCUGAAGCAUCACUUGGAAUCUCAUCCUCUUCGGGUAUAGAAUUAUUCUGCUUAAGAUCUGAUUCUGCAACGACCUUCUCAGACAAAUAACUUUCACCAUCAAACUUGGUGUCCUUUAGAGUUGUAACAUCUUCAUCACUCGUUGGAAGACCUGAUGAGUCAAGAUUAACUUCAUUGAAAGAGCUAUCUUCACUCUCAUAUCCCGAAGAAGAUUCAUUUCCCCCUGUCAGACGAGCAACACCAUCAUCCUCUUCCUUUACGUCACUGUCAUCCUGCUCUUCCUCUUCCUCUUCCUCCUCU